GCCCGGGAGAGACCGCCUAAAAAAGGCGGCGCCGAAGGGGAUACGCAAAAACUCUCAGGCAAAAGGAUCGGGUUGG
rnacentral:ncRNA from 1 species